GUGAGGUGGGUGGUGGCAGAGCCCAACAAGCUACAGUCAUUCCCAGCUAGGGUUUUACUUUUCUAAUGAAAUUAGCCUGUGGAUCUUUAAAAAGUAUGAAUAAAAAAAGAGGACAAAAUGGUCAAUUAUUACAAAGGAGUAUAAUGAGACAAAGGUUGUUGUUAAAUCUACUCAACAGUUGGGGCUUAAGAACCAUUUUGUUUAGGGGUACAUGGUCAUUAAGUGUUUGUCCUAUGUUGGUAACUGGUCUCCCAUAGUUGUUCCUAGUUCACUUCAACCCCACGAUCCUAAGCACACCUGUACCUGCCCUGGAAUCCCUCAGCCAUGUUUGUCCCACAGAGCAUCACUAUCAAACAGUUCACUGUGGACUCCUCGUAGCAGAAGUACAGUAGGGGACAGCAAGUGUCAGCUCCAUCAGGACCCCUGAUUUAAUUAUUUACUGUGGAACCAUUGUCCUGAGUCAGGAGGAUAGAUGAGGAAAGAAUGAGAGCGUGGCUGGCAUCGCUUCAUGAUUACAUUCUGGGAAAGAUCUUGCCUGUUAACCUCUAGAGAAGGAGGGACGAUACAGACAACCACUGGUGGAAGUUGUUGUUAAACAGUGGGUCUUGCAUGCAAGCUCUACAGUUAUGCACAGUAUUUCCAUGACAUCCCAAGCCAUGAGGUUCAUGCUGCCAUAUCCCCCUGUUUAACAAGUGUGGAAACUGAUGUAAGUGGAGUCAAAGUCUUGGUUUGGGUGGCCAUCGUAAAUGUUCCUGCUAAGAUAGGCAUAGGCUCCAGUAAGAUCAACUCAACAUGAUCAUAAAUACCAUGUUGAGGAUUUCCAAAAUUUAGAGAAAUGACAGAGAGUCACAGGGGCACAAACUCUGUUGAUGAACUUCAAUACACCAAGAUCUUGUGCAAGGAUCUGUGAUGAAGAGUUAUGUAAAUAUUCUAAUUGAUCCAUAUAGUUGUUAAUAAAAGGGGAAAGUGUGAGAGAAGUUGAAGGACAGUGUUGAGUCAAUGAUGGCCAGUGAUGAUGUAUGAAUCGGGAUCAUAGCUACAGGUCUGGUCGUCAGAGGUCCACACCCAAACACGUGUAGUGUGGAGCUGUGAUAUAGAUAUUGGAUGUAAAUUAGUGUGUUAAAAUCCUUAGGUUCAUCUGUUUUCAUUCUACCCGGACUUAGAUUAAACUAAAUGAAAGAGGUCAAAGCAUUCUCUAAUUAUUUAAAUAACACCAAGUAGUACUACUAACAGUAUGAAUAUCAAAGUUUAGAAAUUCAUUAGUAAUAAAUGGCCAGAGUUAGAAACCCUUAGCUGAGAAUUUUGUGUGCUGUUUUAAAUGGCGGACAAAAUUCUCGUUUGGUUAAGAACCUGGUCUCCUGUUUAUUUUCUAGAGAAGAAUGUAUCACAGCUUCAUGUAACUCGAGGGGUAAAA
rnacentral:lncRNA from 1 species